GUUGUGGGAGAGCAAUACAAGCGUCGUGCUACUAGGCGAAGCAGCUUGAAUGCUGCACUAACUCAAUAUCACCUCAGUUUAUUUGAGCAAAUAGUUUUGGUUUAAUGAACAUUGAGUAUCUCCUCAAUCUGCUAUGCCUGUCCAAUGGUCUGUGCUUUUUGUGUGCUUCUUUAUGAGAUUUUGCUUUUCUCCUUUUCAAUAGCUACAUUCUGAUGGGAAUUGAAGAAGAGUAAAAGUCUUAUUCUUUAUUGUCAAUGCUAAGUUCAAACUGGAAGCUAAGCUGUAUUUGUUCUUCUAUCGUUAUGAUGGCUGAAAACCAAGGCAUGCUUCUGGGAUUGGUUUAGCCUCCAAUAGUCGGCCAUGCCUAAGGUUCUAGAAACCUUUUGAAGCUUGUGCGACAUUGGAAUAAGGAUGGGAGUAGCCCCUUUUGUUUGUAUAAAUUUUCUUUAAGUUGGAGUUUUGGUCUAUUUAUAAGCUGCUGGUUGUUGAAAAUGUUUGGCUGCUGCUUUCUUGGUUCAGUGGUAUAGGAUCUGUCCUGCUUACCUUUCUUGCAAAUACUUAAGUAAAAUGCUUGCCCAUAGGUAUUUUUUGGCUUUAACAUGAGACUUACUUAUGCUUGUGAACUAAUAUAAGGAUUGACAAAUUUUUUUUGGUUUGUAUAAUAAGAAAACCAGAUUCUCAAAAGUAGGUUUCAACAUGUCUUAUGCAAUAUAAAAAGCCUUGUUUCCAUCUAAUGUUAUCUUGUUAAGACCCUUUUUGGUAUAUAGAUACGUAUCCUUUACCCCCUUUUUCUUUUGCAUGACUUGGGGAACUCUCAAAUCCCAAAUGCUCCCUGAGAUUGCUGCUGAAGUCUUGGGAAAUAUUGCUGCACUUCUAAGGGCUUACAGUUUCUUUUGUACUGAUGUCCAUUUUGAGCUGACUAUCUAUUAUAGUUACUGUUUUCUCUGUGGUAAACAUAUGCAUCUUUGAGGCAUGCCCUUUACUGCUAUCUGGGCUGCUGCCUCUAAAAGAACAGAUAUUGCACUGGAGAUUUCUAUUUUUUUUUUUUUGCAUUUGUGGGCUGUUGCUCUGAAAAAAUAGCUACUGCUAUGUUUGAGCUGCUGAUACAUGUUGUUGCUACUUGCUAUUGCUGCACUUGAGGAGGGCUUUGCUGCAAUCUAAGGCAGCCAACUGCUUUAUUUUUUUGCCAAGAUGUUGCUGUAUUUUAAGGCUGAAAUAUGUUAUACUUUGGUGUUACAUGAUAACAUUUGACAGAUGCUCCAUUUGAGCUACAUGUGGUGAACUAGUUGUUUCCUGGUCAAGUAUACCACAUUUGUUUCCUAUUGUUGCUACUGGUUGCUGCUGUUUCUGUCAAUGCUAGAAAGACAGCUUGCUACUGUAUUUUCAGUAUCCACUGCGACAUUUUUCACAAAUGAUGCACUUAAUUUUUUAAUCAAUAGUUAUUGUUGCUACAAUUGUGGCUUUUAGGCAGACAGAGGCUACACUUGGUGCUGCUAUACUUUGGCUUUGCAUUUGUGAAGCUGCUUGAUAGAACUGCAGUGUCUUUGAUUCAAAAAAUGAUCAAUGUGGCACUUGAAGUGUUCACUUGAUACCACCUGUUUGCUGCUGAAUUUUGGCUCACUUCUAGGGCCAGUUUGUUGCUGCUAUUUUGCUGCUGAUACAAAAGCCAAACUAAGGACAUUAGACCUGAACAAAUUUGCUAUUAUGUUUUGAGACCUGUACUACUACAUUGCGAAACAGUAGAAUUUUGACCAAACAGUUUUACUGUUAGGGCAUGUGCUACUACUGCUUUGCAAGAAGUUAUUGCAUUUGGAAGAAUAGAUACUGCAUCUUGAUAUGGUUGCUACUUUUUUCUCAAAAAAUGAGCAGAUGCUACAAGGGAAAUACUUCUAUAUUCCUGAUUGUUGUUCUUUUUCUUUGAAAGAUCAGAUCACUACACUUUGAUUGAAAUUCACUGAUUUGAACAUGUGAUACUACACUUGGGCCGAUGAAGAAAUGCUUUUUUUGAGGUCAUGCCUAGUCCGGAAAGGUUAUCCCUCGAUUUAGGCAAUGAUGAUCUCACAGUGAUAUCACGAGGUAGGAACCAAUAUGCAAGGCAACUAGAAUGGCUACUAGUUUGCUGCCGUGACAUGAUUCGGAUUCCUCUGCCAUAUUCGGAACCGUGAGUCUGAGCCUCUGUAAUCAAAGCUUUCAAAGUUUGAUAUAAGUCCGAGGGAUAUUAUUAUUUAUAUUCAUAAACGUCACCCUAUGGGGUGGCGUAUCAUUUGACUAACUAUUUUCAUUUCAUUUUUGCGAGGUACAUCUAAUUAAUAUGGGUCCGCGAGAUGAGAUUCUACCAAAGACAAAGUGAAGUAAAGUUGAAGGCCCCACAGCUCUGAUGAAGGACUAGAAGAGCAUAGAAGAAUGAGAACAAGACUGCUGAAUGAUUUGGGCCUAAGGCCGUAAAAGCUAAACCUUUCUUCUCCUUCUUGUAGUAUAGUUUUACAUUAUUUUCUGUGUGAACAUGCAAAUACAUUUGUAUAGAUAUUGAAACCCCUACAGGUUAAAACCGAGGAUUUGAGUGUCGAUGUUUCAAAACUGUAUCCAAAUGAUAAAAGAGUUGUAUUCCACUUGAUUAAAAUAAAUAAUAAAAGUGAAAGUAUAUUUUUCUUGCAAAAAAGUUGAUUAUUUCUGAAUACCUCUUUAAAUGUGUAUCUUAAUUUGAGAAAUUUGAGAAAAGAAAGUAAAAGAACAUUUGGGCUAGACCCAACUUAAUGAAUUCAAAUAAGUGGAAUUUCCUUCAAAACCUGACCUUGAGAAAAUACUAUGAGGAUAUGGUUGACUGAAGAGAAAAAAUGUGGAUAAUGUAUAAAUUAAAUAAAGGCUACAUAUAUAUUUUUCUUACAUAUACAUGGCAUUAGUUUUAGAUGGGACCCAGCAUACUAUCCUUAUAAGUAAAAGGACAAACUAUUUUUAUCCGGAUAUUUUAAAUCCGAACUCAAAGUAUCCUUACUUAAAGGGAAUUUGUUUAACACUUUUAAAGCCAAAAGGAUAUGCCAUGAUAGUAUUUUUAUACGGGAAACUAAAAAAAACAUAAGCAAUUUAUACAUAAUCACACAUUGAAGCUCGAAGGUUAAUCGUAUUCUACGUAUCUUAAUACUGGGGUGCCUAAUACCUUCUCCAGGAGAUCAUCAGGACCCUUACUUAAAACUCUGGAUUACGAAAGAUUUUUCACUGUAUUUAUAAACCCUUCACCACCGGUUUUCCUAAUUUUCUAAAAAUUAGGUGGUGACUCUUUUUCAAAACAAGUCUGAAAGAGUACCAACAAACUCAUAGUAACUUUUCGAGCGCUAACCCUGCCCGCAAAAUGUGAACUGUAACACAUACCUUUUCACCUUCAAGCUUAACCCUCCAAUAGAUCUGGUUAUCCUUGAGAUGUGCCGGACAUAUAAAGUAUGCCUCGCUCAAAUAGGCCCGAAUGUUUGGAGGAUCAUGGCCUGUAUCCGUCUUUUGGCCGAUAAUGCCAAAAUUAACUUCACCUUGCACCAUCUGAUCCUGUUAUAUUGCCCGAGGAUCUUCCACGACAGUGUUAUUGUUACGUCCCGUAUUUUAUACAUUGGGACAAUCCGGAUUAACUAUGAUAAGUUAGGGCCAAGACCAUUCCGGGACUUGAAGUCGAGACUUUUGACCUUCGAUUUUAUUUUGAGACAUAAGUUGUUCAUGAAAUUGUUGGCAUGGAACAAUUAGGAAAAGUUGGGACCAAAAUUCACUAAUUUGGAAGUUGAAAAUCAUGCAAGAAGUCCCACACUUUGUGGCCAAUUUUAAAUGGUCCAACACAUGUGUGGGCCAUGGACACUUGGAGGGUUCACUUAGGGGCUUAAAAGAUGACUCAGGAGUCAUCUUUUAUCAUUUCACUUAGCAAAAUAACCAAGAAGUUGAAGAACUUCAACAACUCCCAUUCGGCCAAGAACCAAGAAAACCAAAUCCAAUUUGAGCCAUUCCAAAAAUAUUUCUUUGGUGUAAAUCCACUAAUUGAAGGUCCCUAAGUAACGUGGAAGUGUUGUUGGAGCGAUCAAGCCAUCUGUUUAGUAGAUCGCAAACCCUAGGCAAAGUGUGGAGUUGAAGAAGAAAGGUAAGAUUUGAUCUUGUUUUAUGUGUUAUAAAUGUUGUAUGCAUGUUGUAGUAUGCUAAAAUGGAUGAAAAUAAUGAGAUAGGGUAUGUUGGAAGUGGGUCGUGUGCUUGGUGUGUUAGCCGUGUGAGGUGUGUGUAUGUUGUGUGGUGUGGAGGUGAUGAAUUGAUCUUAUGUAGCAUGUUUGAUUGUUGUAGUGUGUAGGAUGGCUAAGAAUCACUAAUAUAUGCAUGUGUGGUGAUAGCCGAAUGUGGGUCAUACUAUAUGCCAAAGAACGCAUUAAUGUCGCUUAAUGUUUUAGUGGUUGUUGUGAUGACUUUUAUGUUGGAAAUAAGAGUUUAAUGUCGCAAGUUGAUAUGGUAAGUGUUGUGGACUGAUUUGGAGAAUUAUGUGCAAUUAGUGCAACUUUUAUUUUCAUGAGAAUAACAUUGUUAGAAUGGGUUAUGGAUUGUGUUCUUGGGUUUGGGAUUGUUUUCGGGUAAAUUGGAGAAAUUGUUGGAUUGAUGGAAAUAUUGUGUAAAUUGUUUGAAAUGUCUUUGAGUAUUGUUGGUAUGGGUUCGGGUUGGUAAUUGAAUGUAUGAGCGGUGAUGUGGCUUGAAUGUAAGCCGUCGAAUUGAAUAUUAUGAAUGUUGUUGAAUGUUGUAAAAGAGAGUUGUUAAUGUUAUAUCAUCUUGCGGAUUGGUCAUUGGGGUUGUUAGGUUGGUUAUUGUUGUUGUGAUUGUUGAUUUGGCCGAGUUAAAUUCUCGGGGUUGGCCUUUUUACAGGGAAAAUGCUGCCCAAAUUUCUAUAGACUUGAGUAUUAGUUUGGAGUAAAUCGCCUAAGUGCCUAUGUCUAAUGUUUGAUAUUCGUUGGCAUAUUUGUAGACCUUGGGGAGCCCGAGGCGUAGGUUGGAUUAGCUUGAGUUGAGUUAGCUUGGAGUGCGUACGAGGUGCAGACGCACAGUUUGGUGAUCCAGCCGUUUAGGAUACCCUCUUCUGCUGUUUGGAGUGCUCUUCUUAUUCCGGAGCCUACAUUUUGGUAUAUAUCUUCGUUCGUUGCAUAUGUAUGUAUUUGUUCAGGGGUACGGCGGGGCCCUGUCCCGCCAUAUGAUUCGGUCUGUCUGUUUAGAGGUCUGUAGACGUAUAUGUGGGUUUUGUGCCUACUUCUGUACGGGUGUGUUUGUAUGAUUCCACUUGCCAUGGCAGCCUUGUCGGCGUGUGUUUGUAUAUGUUUUGGGCCGUUGCGCCAUUUGAUAGCCUUGUCGGCUUCUGAUAUAUAUGUACAUAUAUGGUUGUGUUUGAAAUGCGUCUGAGACAGUUUGAUAUAAUUUGAGGCAGCGUGUGAUAUUUGUGCCCGUAUACACUAUCUGUAUGUGAUUCAGAUUUGAUGAGUGUGUUCGGGUGCCCAGUUCGGGCACUAGUCACGGCCUACGGGGUUGGGUCGUGACAGUUAUAAAGCUCGCCAAAUGGGGAAGGAACCCCAUUCUAUCCUGUGUCGAUGAGAACAGGGAUCGAGGCUGGUACGAGAGUUUUGUCCGGGUUAAGACCGAGGACAUUAUACCGGCAGAUUACAUGCCUUUCCCCAAAAGGUGGAAUGACAAACGUAAGUUUUAUAGAGGUUAUCUCCUUUUUACGUGCCUUUGAGCAUUUCUUCUAACCUUUUCCAAUGUUUCAACUCAUGCAUGGCUUCCGGAUGCGAUCCCCGGAUUUACCUGGUGGAUCGAAAAAAUUAUCGGCCAACAUCCGCACGAAGAGCAGACAUGGAAAGAUCUGUCCCGUGACCGAUGGUCAACACAAAAUCACGGUUUGGGCAGAUGCUCUUCGACCCCAUGGCCCGCAUUAAGGGACGAACUGGCCAUACCGUGGAUCAGCACGGCUCAUUGCCGAGGCUGAAAAGAAAAAGAAAAAACCCAAGUCUAGGGGUCAGAAAAGAAAGAAGAGCUCGAAGGAUGUCGCAGGUUCAUUCGAAGCUCGAAGCCUGAGGGAUGAACCCGAGGAUGACAUUUGGAUCGCAAACAUUGUAUCGGACAAUUCUGUAGUUGCUGCCACUGGGGCCGAGACAGCUUCGGUGGAGGUCCCGUAGGGGAGUACAACAACUGAUUUGCCGGACUCAGCCACAGGCGGGGAGACCGAGGUCCCCUUCCCCCCAAUAUCCGAAUACCUCCAAGCCCCUGUUCCUAUUAGGGAUGUCGAGUUGAUCGACGUUAAGGGUGACACUUUGCCCGAGGAGGCGCCUUUGGUAAAAAGGGCCAGAAGGGCCGAAACACCUUCAAGGGCCGAGACAACUUCAAGGGCCGAAAUGACUUCAAGGGCCGAGGCACCAUUAGGGGCCAAAAAAACUUCACCUCCUCCUCCUGUUCCAAUCUCGAAACAGGAGAAUUUUGUUGACAUGUUUGCCAACACUCCUCCUGCAACGGCGGAAGACUCGAGGUUUGGACAUCUCCCCAUUCCACGAGCAUUGAGGAGGCCUACUCGAUCUACUGAGUCAGGUUCGAGGUCUCGACUCGUAGAUAUUUUUUAGAUCCAAGUGCAGAGCCGAGGAGGACCAGGUCGACCAUGGUCAUCGUUCCUAAAUAUUGUAGGUUUUUGUCUCUCCCCGUAGGGGUGGCCAGUUAUCCAUGACCUCUCAUUUCGGAGUCCGACAAAGAGAAGAUGCACGGACUCUCGUGGCAGUGCCUUCUCAACGAGGGUAUGCAUGUUGGAAACCGGGCCGUCGUGCUUAUGAACGAAGGUUUUCUUUGAGCUCGGCACGAGAUAGAUAAUUUACGGGCCCAGUUAGAUACCCAGGGCUGAGAGACUAAGAAGUUCAAACUUCUCUUCCAACAAAAAGAAGAUCAACUGAGCAAAGUCGUUGCUCCUCCAAGCCGAGCUCGAAGCAGCAAAGAAGGAGAAUCUUCGGUUGAAAAAUGAGCUCGAUGAUACAACUGAAAAGAACAAAGUACUGGAAGAGGAAAAAAAGUAGCUCGACCGAGGGAACGCCAAAUAUGCCACCAAGCUCGAUGAAUUAGAGGCCACGAUCACCCGAUUAAGGCAGGAACUUGAUUUUGUUAAAGUUGAGGAUGCAAAGAUGGAGCAGAAGUUCAGGCAGCUCGAAAUCGAAAGGGCCACUGAGAAAGAAACCUUAAAGGUUUCCCAAGAGAAGGCCGAGACUAGAGCCCGGGAUGAGAAACUGAAGAGUGACCUCAAGGCAGCUAUUCGAGACAAUGAUGGGCUUCAGGCCGAGCUAGUUGCCGCUAACGGUGUUCGGAUGGCUUUGAGCGAUAUGAGGUCGGAGCUGGAGGAAAAAUUAAAAAAGGCUCAAUCCAACCUGAAGAAAGCCCAUGAACAAAUUGAGGCUACCAAGGCUCGAUCCACCCUUCUAGUUGAAUAUGAUAAGUGCAAGUCUCGAAGGUCUACACUCGAGGCGGCUCACCAAGGUAUUGAGGAUAUCCCUUCUCGGAUUUUUGAGGCAAAGACAAUUGAGGAUAGAGCCAAGAAAGCACUCGAAUAUAGCUCCGAGGAAGACCCUGAAGGGUGCGGCUCUGAUGACUCGGGUUCUUCUUUGACAGAGUAAAUAGGCUCAUAGGACCUUUGUUUUUUGUUUUUGAUCUUUGUGAUUUUCACAAGUGUAAAGCUUCGGCCCUUUAUGCUCUAUAAAAUUUGUAUGGGCUUUUCUUUUGCCA